rnacentral:rRNA from 1 species
UACGGAGGGUGCAAGCGUUAAUCGGAAUUACUGGGCGUAAAGCGUGCGCAGGCGGUUUUGUAAGACAGAUGUGAAAUCCCCGGGCUUAACCUGGGAACUGCGUUUGUGACUGCAAGGCUAGAGUACGGCAGAGGGGGGUGGAAUUCCUGGUGUAGCAGUGAAAUGCGUAGAUAUCAGGAGGAACACCGAUGGCGAAGGCAGCCCCCUGGGCCUGUACUGACGCUCAUGCACGAAAGCGUGGGGAGCAAACAGG